rnacentral:rRNA from 1 species
UACAGAGGGUGCAAGCGUUAAUCGGAUUUACUGGGCGUAAAGGGCGCGUAGGUGGUAGCGUAAGUGAGAUGUGAAAUCCCCGGGCUUAACCUGGGACGUGCAUCUUAGACUGCGUAACUUGAGUGUAGUAGAGGGUAGUGGAAUUUCCGGUGUAGCGGUGAAAUGCGUAGAUAUCGGAAGGAACACCAGUGGCGAAGGCGGCUACCUGGACUAACACUGACACUGAGGCGCGAGAGCGUGGGGAGCAAACAGG